rnacentral:rRNA from 1 species
UGAACGCUGGCGGCGUGCCUAAUACAUGCAAGUCGAGCGAACGGACGAGAAGCUUGCUUCUCUGAUGUUAGCGGCGGACGGGUGAGUAACACGUGGAUAACCUACCUAUAAGACUGGGAUAACUUCGGGAAACCGGAGCUAAUACCGGAUGAUAUUUUGAACCGCAUGGUUCAAAAGUGAAAGACGGUCUUGCUGUCACUUAUAGAUGGAUCCGCGCUGCAUUAGCUAGUUGGUAAGGUAACGGCUUACCAAGGCAACGAUGCAUAGCCGACCUGAGAGGGUGAUCGGCCACACUGGAACUGAGACACGGUCCAGACUCCUACGGGAGGCAGCAGUAGGGAAUCUUCCGCAAUGGGCGAAAGCCUGACGGAGCAACGCCGCGUGAGUGAUGAAGGUCUUCGGAUCGUAAAACUCUGUUAUUAGGGAUGAACAUAUGUGUAAGUAACUGUGCACAUCUUGACGGUACCUAAUCAGAAAGCCACGGCUAACUACGUG